AGAGUUUGAUCAUGGCUCAGGACGAACGCUGGCGGCGUGCUUAACACAUGCAAGUGGUGCGACGAACCAGGGCUUGCCCUGGGGCCAAGCCGCGAACGGGUGAGUAACGCGUGGGAACAUGCCCUUUGGUUCGGAAUAACUCAGGGAAACUUGAGCUAAUACCGGAUAAGCCCUUAUGGGGAAAGAUUUAUCGCCGAAGGAUUGGCCCGCGUCCGAUUAGCUAGUUGGUGAGGUAAUGGCUCACCAAGGCGACGAUCGGUAGCUGGUCUGAGAGGAUGACCAGCCUCACUGGGACUGAGACACGGCCCAGACUCCUACGGGAGGCAGCAGUGGGGAAUAUUGGACAAUGGGCGAAAGCCUGAUCCAGCCAUGCCGCGUGAGUGAUGAAGGCCCUAGGGUUGUAAAGCUCUUUUGUGCGGGAAGAUAAUGACGGUACCGCAAGAAUAAGCCCCGGCUAACUCCGUGCCAGCAGCCGCGGUAG
rnacentral:rRNA from 1 species